rnacentral:rRNA from 1 species
GACGAACGCUGGCGGCGUGCUUAACACAUGCAAGUCGAGCGGAAAGGCCACUUCGGUGGUACUCGAGCGGCGAACGGGUGAGUAACACGUGAGUAAUCUGCCCCUCACUUUGGGAUAGCCCCGGGAAACUGGGAUUAACACCGGAUAUGAUCACCGGCCGCAUGGUCUGGUGGUGGAAAGUUUUUCGGUGGGGGAUGUGCUCGCGGCCUAUCAGCUUGUUGGUGGGGUAAUGGCCUACCAAGGCUUCGACGGGUAGCCGGCCUGAGAGGGUGACCGGCCACACUGGGACUGAGACACGGCCCAGACUCCUACGGGAGGCAGCAGUGGGGAAUAUUGGACAAUGGGCGGAAGCCUGAUCCAGCAACGCCGCGUGAGGGAUGACGGCCUUCGGGUUGUAAACCUCUUUCAGCGGGGACGAAGCGCGAGUGACGGUACCCGCAGAAGAAGCACCGGCCAACUACGUGCCAGCAGCCGCAGUAACAC